rnacentral:rRNA from 1 species
AACGUAGGAGACAAACGUUAUCCGGAGUUACUGGGCGUAAAGGGCGUGUAGGUGGUUUAGUAAGUCUGGCGUGAAAUUUUUCGGCUUAACCGGGAAAGGUCGUCGGAUACUGCUGAGCUAGAGGACGGUAGAGGCGUGUGGAAUUCCGGGUGUAGUGGUGAAAUGCGUAGAGAUCCGGAGGAACACCAGUGGCGAAGGCGGGUCUCUGGGCAACAACUGACGCUGAGGAGCGAAAGCGUGGGGAGCGAACAGG